rnacentral:lncRNA from 1 species
AACAAGCAGCAGCUGCUGGGGAGCAGGAGAUUAUUUAGGUGGGCUUCCAGGGGCAUCCUGUAACUGUAGGGUUGAGCUUGUGGGGGCUCUGCUUGGGGUUGUUUGCUGCCUUUGGAUGGGGCUCCUGUCCUGGCUCUCUCUGUCAGAUCUCACUUAGCUACCAGUCCACCCUUGGAUUAUGGGAACUGGUGAGGCCAAGCAUUGGGAAGACACCUUGUCCCUCCUCAGCUUUGCUUCACCACGUGGUGCCAGAUAGGAAGCCUGUUUAGCGAUGUCACUUGUUCCUGCCUUCCCUGGGUGAGGGUGCUCUGUGUGCAAAUGGACAAACACUUCCAUUUGCAAAGGUUCACCAUGUGUUGUAAGCAGAGAAGAGCCAAAGCUUUGGACACUGUCUAUGAAUCUGUGUUGCCACAGAAGUCACUUCUGUCUGCAUGUGCAGCAGUUACACUUCUAACUCAGCUGUCAGAUCUUUCAGAUAUUAUUAACCACUGUGGAAAGCAUAAUGUUCACAGCAGUAUACAUGAACUUUUAUGGGAUCAAAUCCAUUUGCAAUUCUGGAUCCAAAACCUCUCCUGAAAUUGGACUGCUGCCUCAAUAGAGUGGGCAAGAAUGUAGGCCCAAAAUGCAGAGAGAAGCAAACACUGGGCCAGAUUCAGUUUCUUCCUUACACCCCUGGAAGUUUUUGAGGAAUUCCAUUUUGCAUUUGCAUUUCUACUUCAUAAUAGUCUAGCCAAGCAGAAUAUGGCCUUGUAGCUGAAAGUGGUCCAGCACAUUCCUAUGCUGAAGAUGACUUCAAUAAUGAAAAUCUGUCUUGCAAAUGACUCAUUGUAAGAAUACUGUGCUGAAGAUGUUGAAAAUCAGGAUGAUGCAUGUGAAAAUGAAAUUAAUCAAUAUGAAGAUGAGGAUCAGCAGUCUAUCACAGCAGAACUGUUUGAUAAUAAUGAAACUGAGGAAACAGGCACUGCUAGGGAAACACAUGAAAUUGCAAGAAACGUCAGUGAUAAUAAUGAAUUAGUAGCUAUUUCCAGAAACAGAAGAGUCUGAGUCUGCAGACAAAGAAAGUUGUGAUACCUGCAACAGUUUUCCAUGCCCAGAU